GCCCAUUUGGCUCAGUGGAUAGAGCGUCGGUCUGUGGACUGAAGGGUCCCAGGUUCGAUUCUGGUAAAGGGCA
rnacentral:tRNA from 1 species